rnacentral:rRNA from 1 species
AACGAACGCUGGCGGCGCGCCUAAUACAUGCAAGUCGAGCGAGAAGGUGUAGCAAUACACUUGUAAAGCGGCGAACGGGUGAGGAAUACAUGGGUAACCUACCCUCGAGUGGGGAAUAACUAGCCGAAAGGUUAGCUAAUACCGCAUACGAUUCCAGGACUUCGGUCCUGGAAGGAAAGCACUACCGUGGGUAGUGCGCUCCUGGAUGGGCUCAUGUCCUAUCAGCUUGUUGGGAGGUAAAGGCUCACCAAGGCUUCGACGGGUAGCUGGCCUGAGAGGACGAUCAGCCACACUGGCACUGCGACACGGGCCAGACUCCUACGGGAGGCAGCAGUAAGGAAUAUUGCGCAAUGGGCGAAAGCCUGACGCAGCGACGCCGC